ACAAGGAAGUAUACCAGUAAUUAUUUCAACUUUCAGAGCGAAAAGCUGCAGAAGUCUAACAUGGACAUUGAAACAGAUUCGAUGCUGACGGUGAAAAGAAAAUUACUCAUAAUAUAUUGAAUCAAUUAUUCAUGAGAGACUCUCGUCUGAUUACCUCCGUCGCCGGGAAGGUUCUUUUCCUCCGCCGAGUUCCGCCGCCGGCUCCGAUCUCCUCCGUCGCUGGAAUUCCGAUCCGAUUGGACGAACUGGGAGAGAUUGUGAUAUCAUAUCUGGUGGCAUCUAAUCACUUCAAUCACUUCAAUCUUGAUUUACCAAGAAAUAUCCUCUCCAAAAGCCUCAACUGAAAAGCUACAACCCAAUUCCAAUGAACUAGAAGUCAUCUCCAACCCAUCUCUUGUACUUGAUCCUCGAGUAGAAGACAUCCCAGAUGUAAUCUAUGGAAGAAUGCUCAACGGCAAAUCUGUAAACAAAGUAGGGUUGAAGAAUCUGUUUGAAUCAUUAUGGCAGAAGAAAGCAGGAGUGGAAAUAGAAGAUUAUGCUGAAGGUAUCAUCAUCCUAACUUUCGAGUCGGAAGCAGUGAAGAAUCGAAUUAUGAGGGGGCAGCCGUGGCAUUUUUCAGGUAGCUAUCUAAUACUCCUGGAGGCCAGUGCCAUGGUUCAGAUUACUGCUGAACAAUUUAAAAGAAUUCCUUUCUGGGUACAUGUUAAUGGGAUCCCCCCUGGUCUACUUGCAAAAUGCAAAACCAUAUGGAGAAUUACUGGGAAAGCAGAUAGCUAACUCUAUGGGUGAGUAUUUAGAGUUUGAUCCCAACUACAGGCGUAGUUUCAUGCGACUGAGAAUUAAUCUGGAUUCAACCAAGCCGCUCCUAAGGGGAAAGCUCCUGGAUUUGAAUAAUCAAAAGGAGAACUUAUGGAUAUCUUUCCAGUAUGAAAGACUUAUCAAGUUCUGCUACUUCUGUGGAAAACUUGACCAUAUGCAGAAAGACUGUGCGGCUUUAGCAGAAGAGUUGGAAUAUGGUCACACACCAGCCUUCCAGUAUAAUGAUUCUCUGAAAACAGCCGGUUUAAAUUAUGCAAAAGCUGCUGCUGUGACAAUAGACCAAAAGUCAAACAAUAAAAAACUAGCUCAGAGAGCAAUAGAAGCAUCAGGAGCACGCUCCAAUGAUCAUGAUUCGGAUACAUCGUUGAAGCGCAUAAAAUUGGGAAAUACACAGGAUAACGGGGGAUUUGUAGCAAAUAUACAAAAACGAGGUGAGAUGGAAGGUGCAAGCAGAAACUCUCAGAGUACUCAAAAAACAGCAGGGGAAACCAGAGGAAUGAUUCCUAAUAAAAAAGGAACAGAAAAUGUUCAGAACAAAGGCGUCGGGAAACGCAUAACCGAGUAAAAGAUUGAAAAGGAAGCUUGAUGAACAAGACAAAAUAAAUGAGAAAUAAAUUGGAAGUAGGGCUUGGAGUUUAGUAGUUAUAAAAUAAUAUGAGUAUGUAAUUUAUUUCUCAAAAGUUGUGCUUAUAACUUGUAUGUUUGGUCAAUUUGAAAUAAUAAAGACUAUUUUAUGCUUAUAA